rnacentral:rRNA from 1 species
UACGGAGGGAGCUAGCUUUGUUCGGAAUUACUGGGCGUAAAGCGCGCGUAGGCGGCUUUGUAAGUUAGAGGUGAAAGCCCGGGGCUCAACUCCGGAACUGCCUUUAAGACUGCAUCGCUUGAAUCCGGGAGAGGUGAGUGGAAUUCCGAGUGUAGAGGUGAAAUUCGUAGAUAUUCGGAAGAACACCAGUGGCGAAGGCGGCUCACUGGACCGGUAUUGACGCUGAGGUGCGAAAGCGUGGGGAGCAAACAGG